rnacentral:rRNA from 1 species
GACGAACGCUGGCGGCGUGCUUAACACAUGCAAGUCGAACGGAAAGGCCCUGCUUGCAGGGUACUCGAGUGGCGAACGGGUGAGUAACACGUGGGUGAUCUGCCCUGCACUUCGGGAUAAGCCUGGGAAACUGGGUCUAAUACCGGAUAGGAGCCAUUUUUAGUGUGAUGGUUGGAAAGUUUUUUCGGUGUAGGGUGAGCUCGCGGCCUAUCAGCUUGUUGGUGGGGUAAUGGCCUACCAAGGCGGCGACGGGUAGCCGGCCUGAGAGGGUGGACGGCCACAUUGGGACUGAGAUACGGCCCAGACUCCUACGGGAGGCAGCAGUGGGGAAUAUUGAACAAUGGGCGCAAGCCUGAUGCAGCGACGCCGCGUGGGGGAUGACGGCCUUCGGGUUGUAAACUCCUUUCGCUAGGGACGAAGCUUUUUGUGACGGUACCUAGAUAAGAAGCACCGGCUAACUACGUG